rnacentral:lncRNA from 1 species
AGGGAUUGGGGCAGUAUACUUAGGCCAGAUGGAAAUCAGCCCUCGAAUGCAAAAGGCAGAAGGAAUGCUUAUUACAAGUGGACCUACUAACUAUAUCAACCAAUUCAAAACUGCCAUCAGAGCAAGUAUAAGCUUCAGGUUUUAAUAGUUUAGGACCAUGCUUCAUUAGCCAAACCAUAUAAUAUGUUAAUAUCUAGAAGAUUUAACACAAUAAUUAGAAAUGGAAGAAGACAUGCAUUAAUUCCCACUUUCUCCACAUAAGAGCCACCAUUUAUAGAAGUUGCAUCACAUAAGCUAAAGAGACCAUCUGCAAGAAGCCUCAAACUGGUGAAAAAAGUAGUUUACAAGUGUGGCUCGAGAACCAGAAUUUCAAAGCCACCUCAAAAAAAGAGGAAGGUAGGUUGCACUGUUAAGCAGAGUAACUUAAACAUCAAUAAUAAAUCUAAUGCACAAAAUAUGGUGAUUUUUAAUAGGUGAGAAGCAAGGGUUAGAAAUUUUGAUAUUACCUGCCCAAUCCUAUGAGCACGAUCUUCAGCUUGAAUAAUGUCCCCUGGAGUCCAUGACAGCUCCGCAAAUAUCACGGUACUUGCAGCUGUUAAGGUUAACCCAACACCUGCAGCUCUAAUUGAUAGCUGAAGGCCAAAUGUCCAAGAAACACCGGGAAAAAAAGGAGAUUACAUCCUCUAAAUAUGGGUAACAAAUAAAGACUACUAACGCACAUGAUUUAAAAAUAGGAAAUAUAAUGCAAUGUUAGCAUAUUAUUAAGGUCAGUGCAAUACCACUGCUGCACUAAUAGAAUCUUUUUCCUGAAACUCUGUAACCAACGCUUGCCUUGAUGCUGCUGGUGUUCCACCAUCAAUGCGAAUGCAACCAACUUUUUUCUUCUGAAAUUUAUCGUUUCCAAUAAGUCUUUACUAAGUUUUUAAUAAAGAAAUUCAUUGUACAUUAAGUGACCUUACCAGGAAAAAUUGGUGUAUUGCAUCAAUCAUUGGCUGAUGAUGUGCAAAUAUUAAGAACUUACAGCCCGCCUGAAAUAGGUGCAAGUAUAACUAUAUUUGCAUUGAACAAUAUAAAUGAGAAAAAAUGAACAGUCUAUUAUUCAAUAGAAAUAGAACUGGUGUGCAGAAAAACUUGCACUGCUAUCUUUAUAAGAAUGGCCUUUUUAAAGGAAGGUAAACAUACAAAAUGAACAUAAUAACAAAAUUCAUAAAGAUGCAGAAGAAAAUCACCAGGAAAUUGGUAAAUUGUCCAACAAACUACUUGGGCCAUACUAAUAAGCUAUUUAUAAACCAUGAUUUGGGUGGGCCAUAGCCAUACUAAUAAGCCGCUUGUGCAGAAUAUGUUUGCUGUAUACAUCCACAUUGUAGUUGUCAUAAGCCUCAGAAUGGUACCAAUCUGGCAAACAGAGAGGACUCUAUUACCUCUGUCUAACUAUAGUUCGAGUCAUGACUACUGUUCUGGUUUGACUGAGACCUUGGUGUUUUAAGUUUGUGUGAAUAUAAAUGUGUGCAUGUGUGAGUGACUGAUCUGUUUUAUAUACAUUGUUUUUUAAUAUUAUAUUUUCAAGAAGGAAGAUUGACAUGCUACAGUGACUGGGCACUCUAACUGCAAAGUAGUCAUUUAGUAUUCAGAUUUAAAUUUAAUCAAAUCCUCUUACUAUACUCAAAUACUUCAACAUAAUUACUUGAAGUGUAAAUUAAAUUACGUCCUUUUUCUAAUUUUGGGCCACCACAAAUUUCAGGUUAUCCAAACAGGAAAAUCUGCAGAUCUUCCCUUAUGACUUUUCGCCAACCCCUGACAGUAAGUGCCCUAACAACUCUUUACUUAAAAAUCAGUUCCUAACCAGGCUGUAGAUGAUUGCUCGAGUGCAACGUAAAAACUGACCGUGGUCACAUGGAUAAAAUGUUUUACAUAGCGAAUUUUAGAAAAAUUAGUAACUAUACUACCAUUUGCAAAUUCAUUUGCAACUCUACUACCUCCCUAAAAAAUUUAUGAAGAUAAGGUAAGCUAUCAAUUGCAACCGAAGCCGACUUCUUCACAUAUUUUUAAAAAUUAUUUGCAUAUGGGUGAUAUUGGUUAAUAGAUUAAUACUCGUUGCAAAAGAUUUAUGAUUUUGUUGCAUUUAGUUGCAAAGUCAUAUUUUCACAUAUAUUUUUAAGAAAUUCGUAUUUUUCCUAAACUUAUAAUGUAUUCUUGCAAAAAAAAAAAAAGUUUUUUAAUAAGCCUCCAGAUUAUAUGCUUAUCUGACAUUAAAAACCUUUCUACAUAUAUGAACAAUCAAUGGAAACAAACCUCAAUGACAGUUCCUAAGUAAUCCAAAACUGCUGGGAUCUUCGCUUCUGCAGAGUCGGUAUAAAUCUGCGGACAAUAUAUGAUGUUACCUCAUAGUAUGAUAUGUAUACACCAAGUUCCAUUAUUAAUAGAAUAGGCAAAUAUACAUCAAUUAAUAGAUAUACGUAUCCAUUUAAACAAACAUUUGACUUGUAAUUGAAACAAACAUUUAAACAAUUCAAAACAGCUAACUACUAAGUUCAUCUCUAUCAAGCAAUAAAGCAUUUGACUUGUAGUUUUUGCACAAGUUUUUUUUGCUGCUGCUUUUUUUUAUAUGUUCAUCCCAUUACCUCCGUUAUACGAUCAACUAUCACCCCCGUUAUGUGAUCAACUAUCAUGAACCAAAUACCUUUCUCCUAGGAUACUACGUUCCUGAAACGUAGCACAAACUUACUCUACUUUGGUUGCACACAAUGGCCUUACUGGAGCCACUGAUCAUGUCCAUCAUCUUCAUAUAGAUCUUCACACACUACCAUGGGUAUGCCUUCCCAUGUUAAUCAUCUCAAUUUAGAGUCCUCUUAUUCAAUAUCAUACCAAAUGAAAAGAAAAUUUAAAAGUUUAAAGAAAAUACGAUAAUCAAUAAAUCUAACCAAUCAAUGAGUCCGGGGAUAUUCAUAGAUUGAAAGUUAUUCAGCAGACAAAUAUGUUACAUAAGAUCAAAUUAUGUGGCUCUAUUGAGUAGAAGAGACUAACCAAUAUCUAGAAAAUGGUGGAAUGCUUUAAACAAUAAAAAAAAACCUUUAUAUUUAUAAAGAAAUUACUAAUAUCAAGUCUUUCCAAACAAGUUGCACAACUUAAGAAAUUCAAAUUGAAAAAACAAAAGAUAUUUAAAGAAUAGAAGGUUAUCCACGAUCCUUGAACAAUGAAUUAGGGGUAUUUCAAAAAAUAGUAGAUUAUUGAGUUUUGCCUAGCUAUAUGUCAAGUUUUAUGAUCAAAGCUAGCUAUCUUGAUUAAUAAGACAGUCCAGAUUCUCCAAAUUAAUAACCAAAAGAAAGAAUGUUAAAAUAAGAAGUUCACUGAUAAUUUAGGUAAGCAAGUCAUUUGAAAUCUAACAGUGUCUUAAAGAAUGAUCACUGGUACACCAAUCAAACCACACACGGUCAUUCGCGUAAUUUACACAACCAUGAUCAGUUAUAAUUGCCAAAAUCAAACAUACAGUAUGAGACCAAAUUUCAACUCAACAAAAUUCAGCUAAUCAUAUAACUGAUACUCCUUAAUCAUUAUAAUUGAAAAACAAGAUUGGAGAUUCCUAGUCUAAGCGACAAUGGGAUUUCUUGGUCACAUACAAUAUACAGUUAAACGUUAAGGAACAUCUGUGAAAGAUGAGAGUGAUUAGAAUUGUACCUGGACUUGGGUUGGUAUACGAGGUAACGGGGUGCAAUGGGAUAGAUAGCAGAGAGCUGCAAUUGGAAAAUUUCGUUGCCCUGUACAAUGCAACUAAAUUGUCUCAUUGCAGCUCUCGGGUAUCUAUCCCAUUGCACCCUGUUACCUCCUACACGAACCCAAGUCCAGGUACAAUUCUAAUCACUCUCAUGUUUCACAAUGUUCCUUAACGUUUAAUUGUAUCUUGUAUAAUCAAGAAAUCCCAUUUUGUGGCUUAGACUAGGAAUCUCCAAUCUUGUUUUUCAAUUAUGCUAUGAUCAAGGUGUGUCAGUCAUGUGAUUUGCUGAAUUUUGUUUGAGUCGAAGUUUGGUUUGAUAAUGUGUAUUUGAUUUCGACAAUUAAAAUUGAUCAUGGUUGUGCAAUCUCAAUUGCAACUGUAGGAACUUUAACAAUAUAUUUGAAAAUUAAGUUUGAAAACAUGUGUAUUCUUGCAAAUUUCCCUAUUCUUAAUUUGAAUAUGUAACUAUCUCAAUUUAUUUAUUGUUUGUUUAUUGAAAUUGCAGGAAAACAAUGGUCUAUAUUCUUUGGCGGUUGAUGUCGUUCUUGCCACUAAAGGGAGCACUGAAGACAAGUUCUUUGUCAAAUAGUUGGAAGUUACUAUGGACUAUCCACACUGGUAAAUUGUAUGUGAUAUCAGUUGUAUAAUUGGGAUAUUCUGUGACGAAUCUGUAUCUGUAGUCGAGUUGCAUCAAUAGCAAUACAUGAUCGUGCAUAAGUUGAAAAUUCUACAAAUUUGUCUCCGGAUACACAUGCAAACAGCUGAACCAGCUUCGGCACAUGAUCAAACGAAAAGUGGUCUAAUAGACCGUCGAAUUCCAGUAUUUGAAGACUCUCGGCAUAAAGUUGAAUAUUCUUCGAUCUCAAACAUCAUUUUAUAUACAAGAAUUUCAACCUGGGAUUUCUAAUAGUGAGCUUAAAUAUCAGGUUGAAACCCUAGGUUGAAAUUCUUGGAUAUCAGAUCCUGUUUGAGAUUGAAGAGUAUUGCGCUUUAUGCCGAGAGCCUUCAAAUACUGGAAUUCGACGGUCUACUAGACCACUUUUCGUUUGAUCACGUGCCGAAGCUGGUUCAGCUGUUUGCAUGUGUAUCUGGAGAGAAAUUUGUACAAUUUUCAACUUAUGCCCUCUCCAGGAUUGCUGUUGAUGCACCUCAUUAUGAAAAUUGGUCCUGUGCUUCUGUCUUAAAAUAUAAAAUACACUGGAUAUUCAUCAUGCAAAGUUCCAAGUAAAUAAGUGAAAUCACAUACAAUAUAAGUGUAAAUAGUCGUCCAUAUCAACUUCCAAGACAAAGUAUUUAUCAUUAGUGCCUCCCAUGAUGGCAACCAUGCAAAACAGCAACAGUGAAAGAAUAUGUAUUGAUGGGGAUUUGUGAAAUUUAACCAUUGUUUUGUGUAUAACUUAGUCAUAUAAAAAAUAAAAUUGGAUAUAGUUCAUCAAGUACACCUAUUCACCCCUCUAGCUAGGUGUGCAUUUUCAGAAUACUUAUUUAGAAAUUAAGAAAAAAAGCAUAUAAAAAAUUCAUAUUUUAAUGGUGAACACCCCCUAAUGACUUCACCAAAAUGUUUUUGACAAAAAAAAAAUACUUAGUUACGUUAUUGAAUUUUUUGCAUAGUUCAAGCUGUAAAAUCAAAUAUUAGAUAGUUUAAUAAUUUUUUAGUUAAUUUUCAAAAAAAAAAAUGUACAAAAACAUAUUUUGUUAGAAACAGUUAUAAAGUCAAAAUCUUUAAAGUAUGCAUAGUUUGAGAGGAGUUUUAAAAUUGCGAUGAAAUACACAUAAUACAUGCAUGUAUAUAUUAAUCAAUAGCUAUCAAAUAUGUAGUAAGAUGAACACAAAAAGAAAAAGAAGUGUGAGGAAAGAGAUCCGAAGUGUAAAAAAAAUAGGUCAAAAUCAUAAAUAAGUAGUCAAUUUUAGGAGUAACAUGUGAGUAAAAAAAAGGAGUAACACUUGUAGUAUGAAGCUUGCUUAUUGAGUGGAGCAUAUAGAGAAUCUUAAUUAGUCUUUAAACUAGAAUUCAUGAUAUAUGAACCAUCAUUAUUUUAUAUGCAUUAAAUCAGCUAUAUAAUACGAUAUCAAUCUUACCUGAGGCGGUUGACUCUUGAGUUUUCAUUGUUUACCGCAAGUUCUGCAUGUGCAUAAAAAUACAAAUAUUUAUAAGAAUAUGACACAGAGUAUUUCCUAUAUUUGAGAACAUGGGGAAUUUGAUCAUCUUCAUAGUGCUCCCUCAAAGCUUUCUAAUAUCAUAUCUAGUAUAAAAUUCUUAAACCAAAAGAUAAAUAUUUCUUAAAAAAUAAGAGGAAAUAAAGAAAGAUGUAUUAUAAACAUGACUAAAAAUCAUGAAUCUUUGAACCGUGUAUAUUCCCGAAUUAGAUGAAGAAUGAUGGUGUGGGUGAGAUUAUCAUGAAUCAAUGGAAGUAAAGGAUGGUUUUCGGACUAGUCUAGGGUUUGAACGCGACCAAUCAGUCCUGAGGUGUCACAAUUCCAGGGGUGUUAGUCCAACUAUCAUAAUUUUCACGAAAAUGACCUCAAAUACCAAUGCCAGAGAAGAUGGUCCCGAGUUACCAUCCAAAAUACUAGAUUGUGUGAUGUUUAUCCUCUUAUUCUUCUCAACACUACAUAAUAUGGCGUUUUGAUACACUAAACUCUAUUUCAUGUAGCGUUUGUGACCUUUUCUCCGAUUCCAAAGCACAACAAAGAACUAUACUCUUGAGCAAAAGGAAUUUAAAUAUUUUUACCUAUGUCUUGUAUUGUGAGCUCCAUAUGCCCUCUUUAAUUCUGCCUUUCUUCACUUCUUGCACACACAGAUAAGAAAUUUUUGAAUUAGAGUAGAUGAAGUUCAAACAUAAAAGAAAUUGAAUUACAAAAUUAUAGGUAGAUUUUUAUAUUUACCUAUUAUACAAGGGACAAUCCAGUGAUUUUGGUGUAGCAUGAACAAAUAGCUUGAAAUCUGUAUAAAAAAAAUCACAAGGAUGACUUGGACGAAAGGCUUUGAACCGGAUCUUGUGGCAAAAUAUUAUACAACUUAUACAAAUACAUAUUUAUAUACAUAAGAUCAAUUCUGAUGCACACGUCUUGUAUAUCUAGAUCUAUGAGGAAAACUGCCUUGUAUAUCUAGAUCUAGAUCUACGAGGAAAGCUGCGUUUAGAACGGUGAAAGGUGAUGAUACGCCUUGUAUAUCUAGAUCUAUGAGAAAAGCUGUGUUUAGGACGGUGAAAGACGAUAAUACGCCUCAUACAUCUAGAUCUAUGAGGAAAGUCGCGUUUAGGACGGUGAAAGGUGAUGAUAUAAGAAGGAGAAAGAACUAGGCAACGGCGGAUUAUAUUAAGAUGUUUAGGUUUUAUGGCAAAUCGCGGCGGUUCAAUUUAUUUAAUCUAGGGGCUCAUAUUUCACUUUUGAUUAGAAAUGAAGAUUAAGCCUUUCGAAAAUUUAAAUAUUCUAAAUGACAAUAUCAAAAUAUUUAAUAAAAUGUUUAGUACAUUUAUAAAUAUAUUACAAUUACUGAAACAUAUAUGAAUGUUUUUUAUUCAUUAAUACAACUCGGAUAUCUUGGUCAUGAUCAUCAAAUCUAGAUCUUGAAUUCUAAUGUGUUAUUUAGAGGAUUAUACACCAAAUAUUGUAAUAUCAACCUUAGGAUAUUUAGUGUGGUACCCUCAAAUUCGCGUCCCACGGAUUGAGGUCUCAAGACAUCCAACAUUCAUCACACCUACAACAAAUAUCAUACAAUAUUAAUUAUAUUACUAAUGAAUUUCCGACCCGACCCAAAGAUUACCACUCUCAUUUUUUAUUACUAUGUUUCAUAAACACAAUUUAUUAUAUGUUACGAAUCCUGAGGACUAAGAUCGCAACCACCAAAUCCUUUUAUUAUAACUACGAGCAUCCGUCCAUAUUAAUCAAAGACAUCUCCUUGAAGAGAGACUCACAGAACCCCACGGCUUGCUCAGAAAAUCCCAAAAGUAAUCCUCAUCAUGUUGGGCCUAAACCUUGCCCUUGGUUUUCAUUUAUUGGUUAAAAUGCUCUUCAUUCUCCCAAACUUAAAUAUUUAUACAAAAUUUUGAGAAAUAGCAAAAUUAUAGUUGUUUGUUGAUGAAUCUACAUAUUGUCGGUAUUUCUUUCUCUUUUUUUCACGAAUAUAUCGUCUGUAUUAUAGAUCACUCUCAUUGGCAAAAUAUGUAGUGCCUUUACCUCUUUUAAACUAAACAACUUCAUUACCACAACCUUGUCAGUUGUCACAAAAGACCUUCAUUAUCACACCACCAAGCUGCAAAUUUGGCAAGAUUCACUCUAUACAUGCUCUAUUGACCGAUUUGCAUGUUGCAACUACAAAUAAUCUACAGCUAAAUCUAAGGAAUAUGUCAUAUUUCAAAGGGUGCACCAUAUAUCUUUCGCCACAAGCAUCUGAUCAUUUUAACAGUGCCUAGCUUGCUUAGCAUUAGGCUCGUCUUUGUGUUUUUGAAUGUUAUUACACCGUUUUACAAAGGAGUCUAAUGUUUUCUGCUUUCCUGGGCUGCUUGAGGGGAAAUUUGGUCCCUGCUUUGAAGGGCUGCUUUUUAACUCGCUAGCAGAAACCUCCAACGAAUUCUCAUUUCCAUCAAGCAUCUGUAUAUCCAUUGACCAAACAGGAAUACACAUCUUAGUAAAAAAUAGCAGUUAACAAUUGCAAAAUGAAUGAAUCCACAUAUAUUCCCUUGCAUAUUCAUUUCAUAACUAAUGUCCUUAUAAAAAGCUGCUAAAAAAAAAUUGUUCUUAGCAUUAUACUCUAUUUUAAAAAUAAUAACAGUAAAAAAAGGAGGCCAAUAAAAUAAACCUGUCCAAGAUUUUCCAGCUUGCUCUGGAGAACAUCCCUGCGAAUAUAUGAAGUUUAAUUUAGCUUCUAAUUACUUUAGGCUGCCCAUAAUUAAGCUAAUGGAGAUGAGAAAUACCAUAUUAUGUCAUCAACUGUGUCAUUAGCUAGCAGAUAAUAUAUGUUGACUGCUGAAACCUAACAGAACAACACAAAAACCAUAAGAGCACUCAUAAGACGUAUAAAACCAGAACACAACUGUGUCAUUAGCUAGCAGAUAAUAUAUGUUGACUGCUGAAACCUAACAGAACAACACAAAAACCAUAAGAGCACUCAUAAGACGUAUAAAACCAGAACAUAUUUGCAUAUAACUUGAUCAAACCUAAAAGAAUGGAACAAGAACCAUAACAGCAUUGAUACAUCAGAGGCCGAAAUAUACAGUAUGGGACCAAGGAGAUAAUAGGCUUUCAGAGGGAUCAGGGCAGUAUACUUAGGCCAGAUGGAAAUCAGCCCUCGAAUGCAAAAGGCAGAAGGAAUGCUUAUUACAAGUGGACCUACUAACUAUAUUAACCGAUUCAAAACUGCCAUCAGAGCAAGUAUAAGCUUCAGGUUUUAAUAGUUUAGGACCAUGCUUCAUUAGCCAAACCAUAUAAUAUGUUAAUAUCUAGAAGAUUUAACAAAAUAAUUAGAAAUGGAAGAAGACAUGCAUUAAUUCCCACUUUCUCCACAUAAGAGCCACCAUUUAUAGAAGUUGCAUUACAUAAGCUAAAGAGACCACCUGCAAGAAGCCUCAAACUGGUGAAAAAAAUAGUUUACAACAGCAUACUAGCUAAAGCUUCUACCAAACUACGAGGUAGACAAGUG